rnacentral:rRNA from 1 species
GAGGAUGAUCCGCCACACUGGGACUGAGACACGGCCCAGACUCCUACGGGAGGCAGCAGUGGGGAAUAUUGGACAAUGGGCGCAAGCCUGAUCCAGCCAUGCCGCGUGUGUGAAGAAGGCCUUAUGGUUGUAAAGCACUUUAAGCGAGGAGGAGGCUACUUUAGAUAAUACCUAGAGAUAGUGGACGUUACUCGCAGAAUAAGCACCGGCUAACUCUGUGCCAGCAGCCGCGGUAAUACAGAGGGUGCAAGCGUUAAUCGGAUUUACUGGGCGUAAAGCGCGCGUAGGCGGCUAAUUAAGUCAAAUGUGAAAUCCCCGAGCUUAACUUGGGAAUUGCAUUCGAUACUGGUUAGCUAGAGUGUGGGAGAGGAUGGUAGAAUUCCAAGUGUAGCGGUGAAAUGCGUACAGAUCUGGAGGAAUACCGAUGGCGAAGGCAGCCAUCUGGCCUAA